CGCACGCACGCGGCGGCGCCGGCCAGAUGUUCCCCCCUCGGUCCGCCCCUCUCCUUCCCCGGCCUCCCUCCCUCCGGGCGUUGGACUUCUGCGAUUGACCGAAAGCGGCUGGACCGGCGCUCCCCGCCCGCCCCCAGGCCUCAGACUCCUCCAAUGGGAGGGCGGCUCUCCGAGAAGGCGGAGGGGGUGGCGGGCAGUCGUCGGACUGACAAGGGGGCCCAGCCAAUGGGGGCGGCGAGCCGGAGCUGCCCUCCCGCGCGUGCCAAUCGCAGGCGGCAACUGUUGGGGUGGGCGGAGCUCGGGCGGGCGGGGGCCCGGAGCGGAGCGGCGCGGGGCGGAGUCCUCGGGCGCAGCGGCGGUGGCAGCGGCGGCGCCCCUCUGGGUGACUUGGCCGUGAGAAAGUGAAAGGAGCCCGCAGGCGGCGGCGACAGCUGCGCUGGGAGGGGCUUGUUUCCAGGCUCGGAGGCCCCGCGCACUCUGGGGGCGCGGAGCGAGCCUUUUGGUGUGCACCGUGACAACCACAAAUACACUUUUAAACGUAGUGGGGCUUGGCCACCGCGAGUUGCGCAGGUGUCCCGGAGAGGCAGGGCACCCGGGGACACGCAGGGCUCCAGGCCGGCUUCGGCUGUCUCUCCCUGCUCCUUCCUGCGGGGCGACGGCGCCCGGGUCCUGGGCUGGCCGUGCGCGGGGUAGCGGGAGCGAGGAACGCUCUCGCUCGUCCUGCGGCGUCCCGCGCCCAGGUGCACAUCGGGGCGCUGGGGACGCGAGCAACUCGGGCACAGUUUCUGGGAGUCGUUCUGACGUCAUCGUGUCACGGGCAGAGCGGGGCAGGGCGCCUGCCUUUCUCUCGAAACGCUCCCGUCGCUUGUAUGCUUACACUGUUGCAAGACAUCCCCGAGUGACCAAAUUUUAGAGCAUUGCAGUAAAAUUGGUACUUGCAGACGCCUUAGCUUGAUUCCUUAAUUGGUACGUAUCUAGCCACAACUUUAAACUACCGAGGGAAGAUGGAAGGCUGCUGUGUCGCUUUUCCUUCCCCUCGAAGAAACUUUCACUCGGUACCUGUUCUUGGCGAUUAAACUGCAUUAAUCACGGCCACAGAGACGCGUGGGAAUGUCUGCCGUCAAGAAACUGGAAAUCGUGUUGAGGCAAGAAUUACAAGUAAAAAGUUGAAUAACAAGUGGUGGGGGAGCGGGAAUGGCUCAAGAAAAGAAAAUAGAAAAAAAACAAAACUGCAUAGUGAGGAAGUCAGUCCACUACCACUGGACACCUAUCAUGUGUAAGGCCUGGUUCCAGUGACAUCAGCCUCUGUACAAAUAUUUGGCCUGGCUCAUAAGCAGAUGCAUGAACUAGCAUUGGAAGGAAAUACUCUUGAACUACUUUGAUAAGGGUACAUUCUGACCCAACCUAGAAAUACCCCAGAUGGAUGUGGUAGAGACUUUACUCCUGGGAGAAGCAUAGCAAUUCUUUAGUAUAUGUAAGAGGUAUUUCAUCCUUGAGGCAUUUUAGAGCUGGUUUGAUGGCCUUCCAGAGGCUGCCGGGAAGAUCUGACAAGUGGAAAGAAAAAAGAGACAAGCAAACCUCGAAGAGAAUUUCAGAAAGAAAGAAAGGAAAAUAUCCAAAGGAUUGGGGGGAAGAAUGGAGGGAAACAAAUAAAAUUAGACAAAGUUUUAGAAAGCAAACAAUUAUUUCAGUUAGUUUCUUUUCUCCCAUGCAUAUUUUUUUAAUGGGAAAUACGUUCUACUAUUUUAACUUUAAAAAAAAUCUGCCUUCACUAAACUAAAGCAAGGGGCUUAAUACAUGGUAAAGAUAAAUAAAUAUUCAGUAGCUAAAACCUUGAUAGCCAAAGGAGACCGUGCUACUGGGCUGUCACUCCAUGGAGUCUGUGGACUUCUGAAGCAAGAGAGUACUAAGAGAACAAAUACUUGUUUCCUUUAAAAGACAAUCUAGCAUGAAGCAGCAUCACUUUCAGAAUUGCCUAUUAUCCUAUCAAGGCAACUAGUUGUUAGUUUGGUCAGAGUGAACAUCCAGCUUCUAUGAUGCUAAAUGAGAGAAUGGAAUGACUUCUGUCCCCCCAGCAGCGCCUUCACGCCACGUACCUCCAAAGCUCACCUCCAGCCCAAAUGUUUUUCUUUACGCCUUUUGCUUUUGAGUUCUUAAAGCGUGUUAUUACUAUUAUUUAUUUUUAGUGUUGCAAUCUCCAGCAGUCCUUAUUUUCACUCAAAAUUACAAUACAGGGGACUAUGGCCAAUGCUAUGCAGAUGGCCAAAUAGAUAAUAAAGACUCAGUUCAUGAAUAAUAUCCACUCAGAAAGAGGACAAAAGCAACAGGAAAAAAGAGCCCAAAUUGGACAAAAUGUGCGUGCUAUAUUUAAAAAAAAAAACACGCGAUCAUUGUCAGAGAUCAUUAAGGGUGCCCUGUAGUUUUAAUUAUAUGCCAGUGGCACCAAUUUGAUGUGACUGUUUGCUCUUAUAGUCAAUAAAAAAAGUCAUAACUGCCAUCAAAUUUAAAUUUAAUUUAUUUUCUACACAGCCUUUUCUGUUUUCCUUGUUUUUUUUUUCUUUUAUAACAUUAACACUUUUUUUGUUAAAAAAUGUGUGAAAGAUUAAUUUGUAGAAUGAGGGUGCACAGCACAGGACAGAUGGAGGGGGUGGGACAUGACAGUUUUCGUCUGUGGUAUCAUUUUGUUGUUGCUAUUGCAAGUGAGCAAAAUAAAGAUACCGCUCCUGCGAUCCUUUCUUUUGGGGCCCCUCAGAUAAGGUGUGUGGCUUUUGCCUCGUGCUGGCCCUGCUGUUUGGGGAUGCAGCCACCCUCUACCCUCCACAGCCAGCGGCUUAUGAACAGUGUUCAUAGCCCGAGAGCACUUUCAUUGUAAAAUCGCAUUUCCAUAGAAUGCCACCCGACUUUUGUAUAAAGCAGAAUGAAACACACUUUUUUUGGUAAGCUGACUGUGUUGAAAUGAAUUAAUGAUCUAUCCUCUCUGAGAUCCCGUAAUGUAAACCUGAACACAUGAGGCAGAAAAGAAUUAAUUUUUUUUUUUUUUUUGGCACAGGACAAAAAUUCUCACAUUCUCACAUUCAAGGGGAUUUUUUUUUUAAUUUAUCAAAAAUGACGACGUGCAAGUUUCAAUUUUUUGCCUUGGAACGGCCCUAAUUUACACAUAAGUAUUGUAGGAGUUUGCUAUUGUAAAGGUUCUUAUUGAAGAAUAAAGCAAUUACCACAGAAAAUCACUGUCAUAUGGCACACACAGACAUUCUGAGAAAAAGUAAAACUUUGAGAAGAAGGAAAAGGGGAAUUCAGGACAGCAUGUGGGAGGGAAGAUGGGAGUGCUUUUUAUGCACAAAGAGAUCCAUUAACAAUAUCUUUAUCAGUUUCCUUCUUCCUUGUUAACUGAACCAACUUCCAGUGCCCAGAAUAUGUGAACGUGAUUGCAGAUAAAUGACUGAGGUGGCCAGAGGAUGAGUGAGUGCACAUGAAAAUGGCUGGUGGUUAAUUCAUGGCAAGACACGAUUUGCCUGGAAAAAAAAAAAAAAAAAAAAA